AACUAAGACUAUGGAGGCAUCCUAAAAAAAAGAGUGUAAAUGUGACAUGGACCUUUCCUGACACAGUAAAAAGGCCUUCUCCUAGAAGAGCAAGACAGUCAGCCAGUGAACAGAUUUCAAUUCUAUUGAUGUCAGGUAAAUACAUAUGUCAGAAAAGAGUCUGGCACAUUAUAAAUAUGUCAUUCACAAUUUCAAGUAUAAUCAAAAUAUAAGGCCUGUAAAGAAGUAAUAAAAUGUGACAGAGAAACUAAGAUAAAAAGUAGUAAACAGAAAUAAUCAAUUAAAUGCCACACAUUUGAGAUUUAACAGACAAGGGCUUUUACAGUUACUAAACAUGUAUAAGGUAUAAAGAAAGUGUGGUACUGAGAAACAAGGGGUAUCAGAGGAGAUAUCAAAGGAGAAAAGAACAUUCCAAUCUUCUCCAAUUAUUAAAAUGUAAUAUACAUUCGUCCCUUUUCUUAAGAAUUAAUUCAAUUAGGCCUGCCAAUCACCUAGAAAAGCAGCCCCACAAAGUUCAAGAACCAUAUAAAGUUUUUUUCUUAAUGAAAAUCUGAGCAGCAGCCACUCUCAGGAGUGCUCCACUCUCUGAAUCCUAUUUUCUAGACCACAAUCUGUAAUAAAGUCUACGUUCUCCACUGAAAAACACAACUAAAUAGAAAUUUAGAAGUGAAUGUCUUCAAUUUUGAAAUAGAGUUAGAAUAAAUUUGGAAAUUAAGUGAUGGUGGCAGAUACGUCCCUAACUAUAUGGAAAUAUUAACUCACCAGUAAACAUGUCAGAAGAAACUAAAUUCUAGUGAGUCAAGUACACAUUCAUCUGUGCAUACACUUACACUCAUGCAUUCACACACACUCACACAAUGCAACAUACAUCCACAUGCAUGUACACAUAUACACAUACAAAUAUACACAUGCACAUACACACACAUGCUCACACACACAGACACACAAGUGCACACACACAUGCAUACACACACACUCACACACAUAGCUACAUGAUAGCUGCACUGAUAAAUAGCAAACAAAUUUCUAAGAGAAUCUGAGGGGAGAGGAGACAUUAAGAUACAAACAGCAAGAGCAGACAUGGAUGCUAACUUUCCCCAUUACUGUGCACAGUGCAAUAGUGACCAAGCCAACUACCAUGUCAGAAAGAAAAAGAAGUGAAAUUCAUAUGUGUUACAAAGGUAACACAAGGAAAACAUAAAAGGGAAAAAAUCUGAAUGUAAACGUAUCUGCAGAUAACUCUAUUGUUUAGCAAAUUAUAUGUAUAAAGUAGCUCCUAGAAUAUAGUAAGAAAAUAUGUAAAAGUCAAUUGUAUAUACAUUAGCAGCACACACUGUGACGUUUCAUUUUAGAUUAGAAAGUAUAAGAAUAAACUGAUUUCAAAGUAUAAAAGUGUACACACUGUAAAUUAUAGAACAUUGCUGAGAUAAUUGAUAAAAGUAUGUAAAUAUGAACAUCCAUAUAAAUAGAGCUACAUCAUGAUCAUGGAUUAACACUGAGGCAUAUUGUUUCUCCAAAGUUAUCCAAAAAUACAGUGCAAUUCUGAACAAAACUCUCAUAAAUAGACUUUUUAAAGAUAAUACUUGACAAAUUGAUUCAAAUUUCAAAGUUUAUAUUUAAAAAACAAGCUAAGUGGUAGUGACCCAUGUCUUUAAUCCCAGCACACAGGAGAUAGAGGCAUGUGGAUCUCUGAGUUCAAGGCCAGCCAAGACUACAGAAUGAGUUCCAGGACAUCCAGGUCUGCCUAGAGAAACCUGUUUCAAAAAAGUAAAAUAAAAAUAAAAAGGAUUAACUAAAAACAAAAUAAUAAAUCUGUAAGAAUCACACUAUUAAACAUGAGGGCUUUUAUAAAACCAAAAUAACU
rnacentral:lncRNA from 1 species